rnacentral:rRNA from 1 species
GCUUACGGCCAUACCACCCUGAACACGCCCGAUCUCGUCUGAUCUCGGAAGCUAAGCAGGGUCGGCCUGUCAGUACUUGGAUGGGAGACCGCCUGGAAUACCAGGUGCUGUAAGCU